rnacentral:rRNA from 1 species
GACGAACGCUGGCGGCGUGCCUAAUACAUGCAAGUUGAGCGCUGAAGGUUGGUACUUGUACCAACUGGAUGAGCAGCGAACGGGUGAGUAACGCGUGGGGAAUCUGCCUUUGAGCGGGGGACAACAUUUGGAAACGAAUGCUAAUACCGCAUAAAAACUUUAAACACAAGUUUAAAGUUUGAAAGAUGCAAUUGCAUCACUCAAAGAUGAUCCCGCGUUGUAUUAGCUAGUUGGUGAGGUAAAGGCUCACCAAGGCGAUGAUACAUAGCCGACCUGAGAGGGUGAUCGGCCACAUUGGGACUGAGACACGGCCCAAACUCCUACGGGAGGCAGCAGUAGGGAAUCUUCGGCAAUGGACGAAAGUCUGACCGAGCAACGCCGCGUGAGUGAAGAAGGGUUUCGGAUCGUAAAACUCUGUUGGUAGAGAAGAACGUUGGUGAGAGUGGAAAGCUCAUCAAGUGACGGUAACUACCCAGAAAGGGACGGCUAACUACGUG